UUUACUAUCUUUUUCUUUUUCUAUUUUUCAGAAAUAGCUGUUUUAUGCUUUGGCACGGAUUUUUCAUGCCACGACACAAAAAGUGACCACACAGCAGAAACUUUAUGCUGGGGCAUGGCAACUAAUUGACUCUGCGACACAAUAUUUCCAUGCUGCGGCACAAAAAUGCCCUCCAAGACAGAAACUUAAUGCCGCGGCGUGACAAUUUUAUGCGCCGUGGCACGAUCCCCCUCCAUAACACCAGUGCCGUGGCACCACAAAUUCAUGCCACGGCGCGAAUCAGGAUUUGUUCGAAUUGAAGAAGAAGAGGUUAGGGUUUGGCGAUUUGGGGAAUUUUGUAAUUGGGAGUUUAAUCUUCAAUCAAAGCCUUGCAAUCCAUUAAUACUAAGUAGGUAAGGCUUUUUCAUCCAAAGUUGCAGUGUUUGUUGUUUGCACAUAUUACCGAAAAAAUUGAAUUGGAGUGCAUUAGGAAUUGAAAUUUUGUGUGAAUAGUACAGUAUAUUGAUUUUGUGUUGUGAUUGUGUUUGAUGGCAUUAUGUUUGGGUGAUUGAGAUUAUGAGUAAUGUUGGGUGAGUGUUGAGGUUGUUUUGAGAUCGGAUUUGAUUGACAUUGUCAAGUAGAGUGCACGGUGGGAGUGUGUGUGUAGUGUUGAAGGAAAAUUAGGGUGUCUUUGUUGGAUUAUUUAGUGUUGUAUUGUGUGUUGUAGCCGAUAUUGGUUGUAGUGUUAGUCUUGUGGUUGUGUAGUGAAAGUGUGCAUAAGGUUGAAUUGGGGUAAAGUGUUGUUUACAACAACUCUUCUUGUGUUGUAAUAUGGCACCCACCAAGAGACCUAGAGACAUCGAGGCUGCUGCUAAGGGAAAAAAGAAAGCAGCCGCACGACCAAGUUAUGUGAGCUUUGUAAAUCCGGCAGCAGAGAAGAGGUAUAUUGAGACUGUGACUGACAGUCAUGGGUUUGUAGACGAAAAAGGGUUUGAUUUUGAGAAUGAGGAGCUAGGGGUUACUAAUGUGAUCAGAGAGAUGAAACGGGAGAAAUUAUGUUCUCACCCCUAGCUUGCCAUUGAACCUUUGGUAAUGGAAUUCUACGCUAACGCAUAUGAAAGCAACAACAGGAAGAUUAGGAUUAGAGGAGUGGAGGUUAGUUUUGAUACAACAACAAUUACUCGAUUUUAUGGCCUCCCCAAUAUUCUAGUGGCAGAGGAUGAACUAAAUACAUUCUUCAAGGACCCAGAUUAUGGAUUGGUUUUACAGACUUUAACUGUCGGUCAAGGAUUAUGGAUUGGUUUUACAGACUUUAACUGUCGGUCAAGGUGAAUGGAAAAUGUCUAAGGAAAAUUACAAAGGCAUUCUAGCAAAAUUCUUGACACCCCUGCAUCGAUUGUGGCAGUAGUUUGUGUGCACCUCGAUUUUCCCCACUAUUCAUCAUAGCACAGUAGACACAGAUAGGGCACUAUUGCUUUAUGGUAUUGCUAAGUGGAUGCAGGUAGAUGUGGGCAAUCUUAUUUAUUAUCGGAUUCUGCAUGUAGCAAGGAAUCCAUCAAUGUCUUACUUGUUCCCUAACUUGAUCACUACCUUAUGCAAGCAAGCUGGAGUGCCAACAAGGGCCGAUGAAGUCCAAAGAAAGCUAUGAUCCCCAUUGAAUUAUGCCUUUUAUCUGAAGUUGCAUGGUCGAAAUGCGGGAGUAGUUUAGAAUCUCCGACUAAGGCCUAUUAAGAGCACUUCAUGUCCAUCCACUUCUCCGCCCCCAUUCGUGUCAAAUCCAUUGUAGAGUAUGAAAGAUCAACUGACCCGAGUGAGUGAUAAGUUGUCCCGGAUGCGGGCAUGGCAAAGUUAGGCCACCAAUCAGGUGACUUAUUAGACAGAGUGUUGGCAAACUAUGCAGCGGAUUCAGCACUUCCACCUUACUCAGGCUGGGGUCGACAAUACUCAACCUCAGUUUCAGUUUCUGAUGUAUCCCGAGGGUUUUGAGCCUGAUGUGCCAGAUUAUAUGCCCGAUGAGGAGUGAGAUGAGGAGAGUGCAAGAUCUGAGGGAUGUGGGCUGUUGUUAUUUCAUUUGUUUUUGUCUUUCAUAUGUGGUGUGCAUGUUUUUAUUUUGUUGAUGACAUUUGCCGUAUUUUCAUUUUAAUUUUCUAAUUGAUUAAGUGUAGAUACUUCUCAAGUAUGUGUGGUUGUAUUUUUUAUUUUGUUGUUUAUUUCUUCUCAAACUCAUGAUCUUUAACACGAAUAUGGUUUCUACUUCAA